UUAAGGGCUGCCCUACAGUAAUGGACCUAAAGGUCGGCCCAUAGGAUAAAAGCCUUUCAUGUUGCCCUAAUCCCACACUCACUUUCACUCUUUCAGAAAUCAGCCGUCACCCUUCUACUCCGUGAGAGAGAGCUCUGCUAGGGUUUGGAGUCGUCAUAGCAUUUGAAAGCUCAGCCUCGUUCUUCCGUUCCACAUUUCAGCUCGCGAAACUGUCCCGUGAGCUAUCGAUCUUCACUGUUCGAGUGUCAAAGCUGUAACUAAACAAGAUGGGCGAGGUUCUCGUGAUCAACAAGGGAAUGACGAUUCCGCUGCUUAGCCAUCUGGGCUAGAGUUAUUUUAUUCAUGUUAUCUCUAGGGCUACGGCCCCUGUAUCGUUUUAUGUUUUCCUACUCUACACUCUUUGUUAGUAUUGCAUUCAGCUUUCCUUUGGCAUCGUGGUGUGCCCGACUUUUGUAGGGGUUGUGUUAAGGACCCAAAGACUACACUACCAUACUCUUAUCGCGUGACGUUUCCUUUAAUUUCGUCUAAUAAUUAAAUGGGACGUUACAAAUUGAAUUUUUAUUUCUAAA